rnacentral:rRNA from 1 species
UUAAAGAGUUGCAAAACUCCCAAACCAUUGUGAACUUACCUUCAACGUUGCUUCGGCGGGUUGGCUCCGGGUCUCCCGGGGCCCCCGGCCCUAACGGGCGCCCGCCGGAGGUACCUAACUCUUGAAAUUGUAUGGCCUCUCUGAGUAUUGUACUUAAUAAGUCAAAACUUUCAACAACGGAUCUCUUGGUUCUGGCAUCGAUGAAGAACGCAGCGAAAUGCGAUAAGUAAUGUGAAUUGCAGAAUUCAGUGAAUCAUCGAAUCUUUGAACGCACAUUGCGCCCGCCAGUAUUCUGGCGGGCAUGCCUGUUCGAGCGUCAUUUCAACCAUCAAGCCCCCGGCUUGUGUUGGGGACCUGCGGCUGCCGCAGGCCCUGAAAACCAGUGGCGGGCUCGCUAGUCACUCCGAGCGUAGUAAUACAUCUCGCUCAGGGCGUGCUGCGGGUUCCGGCCGUUAAAAAGCCUUAUUUACCCAAGGUUGACCUCGGAUCAGGUAGGAAGACCCGCUGAACUUAAGCAUAUCAAUAAGCGGAGGA